AUUGAACGCUGGCGGCAUGCCUUACACAUGCAAGUCGAACGGCAGCACGGACUUCGGUCUGGUGGCGAGUGGCGAACGGGUGAGUAAUGUAUCGGAACGUACCUUUCAGUGGGGGAUAACGUAGCGAAAGUUACGCUAAUACCGCAUAUUCUGUGAGCAGGAAAGCAGGGGAUCGCAAGACCUUGCGCUGAUUGAGCGGCCGAUAUCAGAUUAGCUAGUUGGUGGGGUAAAGGCCUACCAAGGCUACGAUCUGUAGCGGGUCUGAGAGGAUGAUCCGCCACACUGGAACUGAGACACGGUCCAGACUCCUACGGGAGGCAGCAGUGGGGAAUUUUGGACAAUGGGGGCAACCCUGAUCCAGCCAUGCCGCGUGAGUGAAGAAGGCCUUCGGGUUGUAAAGCUCUUUCGACCGGGAAGAAAUCGCAUAGGCUAAUACCCUGUGUGGAUGACGGUACCGGAAUAAGAAGCACCGGCUAACUACGUG
rnacentral:rRNA from 1 species